rnacentral:rRNA from 1 species
AGCGAACGCUGGCGGCAGGCUUAACACAUGCAAGUCGAACGGUCCUUCGGGAUAGUGGCGGACGGGUGAGUAACACGUGGGAACGUACCCUUAGGUUCGGAACAACACAGGGAAAAUUGUGCUAAUACCGGAUAAGCCCUUCGGGGGAAAGAUUUAUCGCCUUUGGAGCGGCCCGCGUCUGAUUAGCUUGUUGGUGAGGUAAUGGCUCACUAAGGCUACGCUCAGUAGCUGGUCUGAGAGGAUGGCCAGCCACACUGGGACUGUGACACGGCCCGAACUCCUACGGGAGGCAGCGGUUGGGAAUCUUGCGGACUGGGGGAAAGCCUGACGCAGCCAUGCCGCGUGGAUGAUGCAAGUCUUAGGAUUGUAAAAUCCUUUCCCCGGGGACGAUAAUGACGGUACCCGGAGAAGAAGCCCCGGCUAACUUCGUGCCAGCCGCCGCCGUAA